AAACCAACAGGGAUUGCCUUAGUAGCGGCGAGUGAAGCGGCAAUAGCUCAAAUUUGAAAUCUGCCAACAGGCCGAGUUGUAAUUUGAAGAAAGCAAUUCUGGGUAUGUCUUUGCUCAAGUUCCUUGGAACAGGACAUCAUGGAGGGUGAGAAUCCCGUGAUGCGAAGGUAGCAUACCUAUGUAGAAUGUUUUCGAC
rnacentral:rRNA from 1 species